UACGGUGAAUACGUUCCCGGACCUUGCACACACCGCCCGUCAAGCCACUGGAAGCCGGGUGUACCUAAAGUCGGUAACCCGUAAGGAGCCGCCUAGGGUAAAACUGGUGACUGGGCGU
rnacentral:rRNA from 1 species